AAUAAACGCUGGCGGCGUGCCUAACACAUGCAAGUCGAGCGAGAAAGUUCCUUCGGGAGCAAGUAAAGCGGCGGACGGGUGAGUAACGCGUGAGAAUUUACCCUUUAGUGAGGAAUACCUCUGAGAAAUCAGGGCUAAUACUGCAUAAGUCCCUACGGGGAGAAAGGUGGCCUAUUUGCUGCCGCUAAAGGAUAAGCUUGCGGGCUAUUAGCUAGUUGGUGAGGUAAAGGCUCACCAAGGCGAUGAUGGCUAGCCGGCCUGAGAGGGUGUACGGCCACACUGGAACUUAGACACGGUCCAGACUCCUACGGGAGGCAGCAGUGAGGAAUAUUGCGCAAUGGGCGAAAGCCUGACGCAGCGACGCCGCGUGGAGGAUGAAGGUCUUCGGAUUGUAAACUUCUGUUAAGUGGGAAGGAAGAUUUAUCCCUAAUAUGGAUAAAGGAUGACGGUACCAUUAGAGAAAGCACCGGCUAACUUCGUGCCAGCAGCCGCGGUAAU
rnacentral:rRNA from 1 species